GGCGGUGUAGCUCAGCUGGUCAGAGCACACGGUUCAUACCCGUGGAGUCAGUGGUUCGAAUCCACUCACCGCCACCA
rnacentral:tRNA from 1 species